rnacentral:rRNA from 1 species
UACGUAGGGCGCAAGCGUUGUCCGGAAUUAUUGGGCGUAAAGAGCUCGUAGGCGGCUCAUUGCGUCAACCGUGAAAACCAGCAGCUCAACUGUUGGCUUGCGGUUGAUACGGGUGGGCUGGAGUUCGGUAGGGGAGACUGGAAUUCCUGGUGUAGCGGUGAAAUGCGCAGAUAUCAGGAGGAACACCGGUGGCGAAGGCGGGUCUCUGGGCCGAUACUGACGCUGAGGAGCGAAAGCGUGGGGAGCGAACAGG